rnacentral:rRNA from 1 species
CCCCCAUCCUCGGGCUUACAGGUUUCUGGGGAGGAAAAAACAGCCCGCUGAUUCGCUGACUUGUGGCGGACGGGUGUUUUAUGUGUGGAAAACUGCCUGAUGGAGGGGGAUAACUACUGGAAACGGUAGCUAAUACCGCAUAACGUCGCAAGACCAAAGAGGGGGACCUUAGGGCCUCUUGCCAUCGGAUGUGCCCAGAUGGGAUUAGCUAGUAGGUGGGGUAACGGCUCACCUAGGCGACGAUCCCUAGCUGGUCUGAGAGGAUGACCAGCCACACUGGAACUGAGACACGGUCCAGACUCCUACGGGAGGCAGCAGUGGGGAAUAUUGCACAAUGGGCGCAAGCCUGAUGCAGCCAUGCCGCGUGUAUGAAGAAGGCCUUCGGGUUGUAAAGUACUUUCAGCGGGGAGGAAGGGAGUAAAGUUAAUACCUUUGCUCAUUGACGUUACCCGCAGAAGAAGCACCGGCUAACUCCGUGCCAGCAGCCGCGGUAAUACGGAGGGUGCAAGCGUUAAUCGGAAUUACUGGGCGUAAAGCGCACGCAGGCGGUUUGUUAAGUCAGAUGUGAAAUCCCCGGGCUCAACCUGGGAACUGCAUCUGAUACUGGCAAGCUUGAGUCUCGUAGAGGGGGGUAGAAUUCCAGGUGUAGCGGUGAAAUGCGUAGAGAUCUGGAGGAAUACCGGUGGCGAAGGCGGCCCCCUGGACGAAGACUGACGCUCAGGUGCGAAAGCGUGGGGGAGCAAACAGGAUUAGAUACCCUGGUAGUCCACGCCGUAAACGAUGUCGACUUGGAGGUUGUGCCCUUGAGGCGUGGCUUCCGGGAGCUAACGCGUUAAGUCGACCGCCUGGGGAGU